AAAGAAGACAGUGUUACCCCUUAUCUAUAUUUAAGCAAAAAAAACACCACUCUUGCCCCAUCAUUGGUUCGACCCGUGGUUAAAUUCAUCAGACUUAUCCGUUUCACCGGUUCGUCAGGGCCCAUGAGAUUGGUCUCGAUAAUGUUGUGUCCUUUCCUCGGUUUCUACGGUUGUUGAAUUCGGCGGAACGGCUUUACAUCUGAAUAGUAAUAUGAGAAAAGAAGGUCAGGUUAUGCAAAGGACUACAAUGACGAGCAUCAAAACAGACUACAGAGGCAAAAGUACAAGAAAGCAAGACAUCGGCGAUCACAACUAACUAAAAAACACUAACCCUUUUUUUUUUUUUCAAAUAUGAAUAUAUGCCGCAACCCCAAUAUUAACAAAAUAUGUAUAAUUCCUACAUUCAUUUCUCUUUAUUUAUACAGGCCCGGCAGAAGGUUCCCACACUUCAUGGAGGAGGCCAAACAAAUGGCGGCUGGACUACUUCCACCAGUCUCCAGACUGAGGCGAAAAAGAGAAUGAGUUGGAGCUGAUGGCAGUUAGCAUGAAGAAGCUAUAUCUUUAAGCUUCUGUAGAUUAUUUGUUAAAUAAAUUGUGAGGAAACUUUGGUGUGGUUAUUCUUCAAUGUAUAUUUAUAUCAAAUUAUGAUGAUAUACUUUGCAAAAAAUGUAAUUUGAUUCUAUCAGAAAUAUAUUAAAAAAAAUUACUUCAUUCUAAUUACUUAAUUCUAAUGGUCAAUUACUUAAUGAGUAAAGUGUAUAAUACACAAUUCCAUUAAAUAAUUGUCUACACCCUAAAUCAGUUUAUUCGUCUAUAUAACGUUAACAAAAUUAAGCUAUAAAAAAAGCUUACUGACAUGUCAUAAUAUUGUUUUAUUCUAAUUUUUUGGUCUAAUAAGUUUAAGAACGCAAAGAAAAAAUCCUGAGGUAUUUGUCUAAAUAACGUUAAACCUUUUUUAAGCUCUAAAAAUGGUUACUAACGUGUCGAAAUAUUUUUUUAUUUCUAUGUUUUGUUAAUUCAAGCGAUAAAUAAAUUUUUUUGUCUCUAGAAAAAAUAAUCGGAGGUAACUUCCGUCCAGCCACAGUACUUCUGUCCCGCCUGGGUGUUCUGUCAUGCCAGGGUGUUGUUCUCCGGGGCUGCUGUUGGAUACUAUUGGAUUUCUGUGGCAAGGAAGGCGAAAUCAUAGGAGUUGAACUUCGGUUGAGAUCUUUGAACAGAAAACUAUUAAAAAGAAAAUAUGCAUAGAUAAAACGAGUAGGCCUAUAGCAACGUUAGACUUGCCUGCAAAUAAAAAUAUAUGCUGCAACUCAAUACUUGCGUUUAAAGUUGCUCGUCGGACUGUAAACAAUUACACGCCGACGGAUGAGGAAUUCUAGCCCCGGAUAUCCGGCACUACCGGUGCCCCGGAUAUAUCGUCCCCAUAGGUAGGUCGUUGUCAUCAGAGGUUGUCAUAGCAUACGUUUCGAGAUUGGUGUUCCAUGAAAUACUAUUUAUGAAAUUAAAUAAACCAAACAGCAAGUUAAGAUUUUGACUUCGUUAAUGGAAUAAUGUUACAACUUAAAAGACAUUCCCACACACGCUAUGUUUCACAGUCAGUCAACGCCUGCCCUCUGAUGGACAAAACGAGAACUGCGGGCAGUAUAUUUUUUGUGGCCAAAUUACAUACGAGGAGAACUUCGGUUAAGCUCUGAAAACAUAUAACUACACAUUAAAGCCGGAAAUACAACAGCAACGCCGCUGUUUUUAAAGUAUUGAUUUUAUUCAUAUAAUAAACUUAUAAAUUAAAAACAUUCCCGAACGCCAAUAAUCACAGUCAGUCAACCCCUGCCGUCUGGUGGACAAAACAUGAACUGCAAGCAGUAUAUAUAUAUAUUUUUUGUGGCCAGGAACGCAAAUAGAUUCGAGGUGAAUUUCGGCUGGGCUCUAUUAGCAGAAAACUGUAUUCAAACGCAUAUGUGUAAAUAAAACUAGUAUAGCAACGUUACACAUAUACUGCAACGUUAUGCAGUAUAUUUUUGGUGGCGAGGAAGGCGAUUUCAUAAGAGUUGAACUUCGGUUAAGAUCUAUAAACACAACUGUAUCUAUUACUAGAUUUUUGGGCUCAUCUUCAAAUAAAGAUAUAAACUCUAAAUCCAAAUUUGCAUUCAAGUUGCUAAUCCGAGAUUGCCGUUCAGCAAUUUUACAGGCUGAAAUAAAACAGCAACACCACUAUUGGUAUGAUUUCUAGUUUAUUCAUAGAAUAAAGUUACAAAUGAAAAACAUUCCCACGCACACACAGUUCAGGUCAGGUGACCCUCCAUCCUUCCCAGUGGUCAGGUCGGAGGUCACUUGCUGGUGGGCUUGUAUGGGUCGGACCAGACCUUGACCCCUACAGCGCCACAGGGAAACAACAAGGACAAACGCCUGGUGGUUAACCUCUGCUUACCGACUGGUUGGAUGUCAGCCUGGUUAAUCCCGUCCCGGUUCACCUUCUGGACCUGCCCUGAACGAAAAAAAAGGGGAAAAGUCUGUUUACAGUCGUCAAACCUAUCAGUUUCAAAACCAGAAUGUGCAUCAACAUCAGGACCCUCUUUAAUUCACUUAUCAUCACUGUGUGUGUGUGUGUGUGUGUGUGUGUGUGUGUGUGUGUGUGUGUGUGUGUGUGUGUGUGUGUGUGUGUGUGUGUGUGUCACUGUAGUCUUCCGUGUGGGUCAGUGGGUGGAAGAAGAUGGGGUAAAACGCAGCGGCCACCGCCGUGACGAACCCUCCAAAGAUCAACGUGAUCCUGGUGUUCCUCGACAUCUUCUCUGCUGUCACCUCCGACGUGUGUGUGUGUUUAUGUGGGAGUGGAUGUGUUCCGGUGAAGGGGUCAAGGGGUCAACAGUGUUGCCAGAUUGGGCUAGAUUUCCCCCCCGAUAUUGCAAUAGUGGCUGCAGCCAAAUUAGGCGGUUAAUCUGAACGAAUCUGGCAACACUGGUAGUGGUACUUCUGCAUCCACAGUUCUGACUUCAACAGAUGGACCAUUGACCUCUGCAUCCACAGUUCUGACUUCAAGAGAUGGACCUUUGACUUCUGACAAACUGACAUCUCAAACUACGGUUCAAACUUCAACAGCAGAUCCAUUGACUUCUGAACCCACAGUUCUGACUUCAACAGGUGGAACAGUGACCUCUGCAUCCACAGUUCUGACUUCAACAGAUGGACCAUUGACCUCUGCAUCCACAGUUCUGACUUCAACAGAUGGAAAAGUGACUUCUGACCCACUGACUUCUCAAACUACGGUUCAAACUUCAACAGCAGAGCCAUCAACUUCUGCAUCCAUAGUUCUGACUCAAACGGAUGUACCAUUGACUUCUGCAUCAACAGUUCUGACUUCAACAGAUGGAACAGUGACUUCUGCCUCCAGUUUUUUUUCAUGACGACCAAUAAAAAACGACAGCAUCACCCCUUGUGAUUUCUUUGAGAACUAACGACACUAAUGACAUUUUAUCAAUUAUUUAUGUUUUAAUUUAUAAAACACGACAGUGUUUUAUACAUUUCCUUAUGUUUUAUUUUGAUAAAAUAAAAUAACAUUACCCUUAUGAUUUUUUCAUGACGUCCGAUAAAAAACAACAGUGUUACCCCUUAUGUUUUUAAGAUAAGAAAACACCAGUGUUGUCCCUUAAGUUUGAAUUGAUAGAAAACGACAGUGUUACCCCUUAAGUUUUUUUACGAAGAAUACAGUGUUACACCUUAUGUUUUUUUUCACAACGAACAAUAAAAAACGAGUGUUA